rnacentral:rRNA from 1 species
GUUUCCUACGGGAGGCAGCAGUGAGGAAUAUUGGUCAAUGGGCGAGAGCCUGAACCAGCCAAGUCGCGUGAAGGAUGACGGCCCUACGGGUUGUAAACUUCUUUUGUCAGGGAGCAAUUGGGUCCACGCGUGGGCUUAGCGAGAGUACCUGAAGAAAAAGCAUCGGCUAACUCCGUGCCAGCAGCCGCGGUAAUACGGAGGGUGCGAGCGUUAAUCGGAAUUACUGGGCGUAAAGCGCUCGUAGGCGGUAUGUCAAGUCAAGGGUGAAAUCCCCGCGCUCAACGUGGGAACUGCCUUUGAAACUG